UACGUAGGGUGCAAGCGUUGUCCGGAAUUAUUGGGCGUAAAGAGCUCGUAGGCGGUUUGUCGCGUCUGCUGUGAAAACUCGGGGGCUUAACCCUGAGCCUGCAGUGGGGUACGGGCAGACUAGAGUGUGGUAGGGGGAGAUCGGAAUUCCUGGGUGUAGCGGUGGAAUGCGCAGAUAUCAGGGAGGAACACCGGUGGGCGAAGGCGGAUCUCUGGGCCAUAACUGACGCUGAGGAGCGAAAGCAUGGGGGAGCGAACGGGG
rnacentral:rRNA from 1 species